UUGUGUUAUAAUUGUGUUAUUCAAGUGAAGUUGCUAAUUAAAAUAUUUAAUGUCAUUAGUUUUCGAAGAGUUCUGAAGUGUAUAUAAAUAACUUAUACAUUUUGUAAAUUUAGUGCGGAAUCGAAAAAAAUGCCACGUCCUCGUGGAAGAGCAAGAAAUAUUGGUCGACGUACUCAGCACGCGCAAUUAGUUCAUGAUCAUCGAUUGAAUAGAACAGUAGAAGAACAUUCUAUGGAUAAUGUAAAUUUAAGAGAUCGAGCUGCAUGUACACGUGCAAAUGAAAAUUUAGAGCAACGUGCUCAACUUCUUCGUGCUAAUACAUUAAGACAAGGAGAGGCACGUCAAUGAGCGACCAACGCACAUAGAGAACGUAACCAACAGCGAGUACAAGAUAAUCGAGCAUUGGCACGAGCAUCACUUAAUCGUCUCGCGUUUGAAUAUGAUCCUGAAAUAGAUUAUUCAUCACAUGCAUUGAUCACGAUUGGUAGUAUGGACAAAGAGUGUCCACAUUGUCAUGCUUUCAAGUACAAAGGUGAAUCAGCUGGUUUAUGUUGCGCAUCUGGAAAAAUAUCACUGCCACCGCUAAAACCACCACCAGAACCUUUAAAAACGCUUUUAGCUGGAAUCACAUCUCAAUCGAAAUUAUUUUUACGGAAAAUUCGUAAAUUAAAUUCAUGCUUCCAAAUGACAUCAUUUGCAGCAACAAAAAUUAUUCAUAAUGAAGAUGGCCGUAAUUUUGAAUCCACAUUCAAAAUUCAAGGCCAAGUAUAUCACCAAAUUGGUUCGUUACUUCCAAUGCCUGAUGCCGAUCCAAAAUUUUUACAAAUUUAUUUUAUGGGGAAUGAAGAGCAACAAUCACAUACACGCUGCGUUUACAACCAUAUAGAACAGAUGGAGGAACGAGAAAUUGUGGACAUUUUGGAAAGGUUUUUGCAAAACCAUAACCAAUUAGUUCAAUUGUUCAAGACUCUUUCUAACAGACUGCAAAACGAUAACUAAGUCAUUGUUAUUAAAGCAGACAAAGUACAGUUGUUAUGGCUGGUGACCCAUGUGAACGUAGAGACAUUCGCAUACAACGCAGAGAUAAUACGAUGCAAAUAAUUCAAGACAAUCAUCGUUCUUACGAUGCUUUGCAGUAUCCGUUAAUAUUUUGGGAAGGAGAAGACGGAUAUCAUUUAAAUAUUAAACAACGGAAUCCAACUACAGGUGAAGAACUGACCAAGAAAGUUAGUGCCAUGAAUUUCUACGCAUAUCGGUUAAUGAUUCGUGCUAAUGAAGAUAAUAAUAUUCUCCGCUGUAGACAGCUAUUUCAUCAGUACAUCGUCGAUAUGUAUGUAAAAAUUGAAAGUGAAAGAUUAAGGUAUAUAAAAUUCAAUCAAGCAAAACUUCGAGCUGAAGAGUAUAUUCAUUUGCGUGAUGCAGUAAUCGGUAAUGUAGAUGCAACAAACGUCAUUAACAACAGUGUGUACAGGACAACGUC